GACGAACGCUGGCGGCGUGCUUAACACAUGCAAGUCGAACGGAAAGGCCCUGCUUUUGUGGGGUACUCGAGUGGCGAACGGGUGAGUAACACGUGAGUAACCUGCCCUUGACUUUGGGAUAACUUCAGGAAACUGGGGCUAAUACCGGAUAGGAGCUCCUGCUGCAUGGUGGGGGUUGGAAAGUUUCGGCGGUUGGGGAUGGACUCGCGGCUUAUCAGCUUGUUGGUGGGGUAGUGGCUUACCAAGGCUUUGACGGGUAGCCGGCCUGAGAGGGUGACCGGCCACAUUGGGACUGAGAUACGGCCCAGACGCCUACGGGAGGCAGCAGUGGGGAAUAUUGCACAAUGGGCGGAAGCCUGAUGCAGCAACGCCGCGUGCGGGAUGACGGCCUUCGGGUUGUAAACCGCUUUCGCCUGUGACGAAGCGUGAGUGACGGUAAUGGGUAAAGAAGCACCGGCUAACUACGUG
rnacentral:rRNA from 1 species